rnacentral:rRNA from 1 species
UAGGGAAUCUUCGGCAAUGGACGAAAGUCUGACCGAGCAACGCCGCGUGAGUGAAGAAGGUUUUCGGAUCGUAAAACUCUGUUGUUAGAGAAGAACAAGGACGUUAGUAACUGAACGUCCCCUGACGGUAUCUAACCAGAAAGCCACGGCUAACUACGUGCCAGCAGCCGCGGUAAUACGUAGGUGGCAAGCGUUGUCCGGAUUUAUUGGGCGUAAAGCGAGCGCAGGCGGUUUCUUAAGUCUGAUGUGAAAGCCCCCGGCUCAACCGGGGAGGGUCAUUGGAAGCUGGGAGACUUGAGUGCAGAAGAGGAGAGUGGAAUUCCAUGUGUAGCGGUGAAAUGCGUAGAUAUAUGGAGGAACACCAGUGGAGAAGGCGGCUCGCUGGUCUGUAACUGACGCUGAGGCUCGAAAGCGUGGGGAGCAAACAGG